UACGUAGGGUGCGAGCGUUGUCCGGAAUUAUUGGGCGUAAAGAGCUCGUAGGCGGUUUGUCGCGUCGACUGUGAAAACCCGAGGCUUAACCUCGGGCCUGCAGUCGAUACGGGCAGACUAGAGUUCGGUAGGGGAGACUGGAAUUCCUGGUGUAGCGGUGAAAUGCGCAGAUAUCAGGAGGAACACCGGUGGCGAAGGCGGGGCUCUGGGCCGAUACUGACGCUGAGGAGCGAAAGCGUGGGGAGCGAACAGG
rnacentral:rRNA from 1 species